rnacentral:tRNA from 1 species
GGGGAUUUAGCUCAGCGGCACAAGUACCUGCCUUGCAAGCAGGCGGUUGUGAGUUCAAUCCCCA